AUGGCUGCUGGUUGUGCCGGGACUCCUCGCUCGGCCGGGUGGGCUUUCCUGGUCCCGGAGCUCGCCCCGACCUCUCUCCCCACCCGCCCCGACCUCUCUCCCUGCGUGCGCCUCCCUAACCCGUUGCUGCUCCGACCCGGAAAUAUGUCCCGCCACAUGCCGCAAACUCCUCUGGUCCUCCCGUCGCCGGUGGUGGUGGGGAUGGCUAGGCCCGUGGUCGCCAGGGUGUGGCCAAGAAGAAGAAGAGGCGCGGGUAGGCUCGGGCCAACCUACAUGCGUCUUCCGGGCCUGCCUCCGGCCUCGCUGCCGCCUCUGGUCCUGUGUCUGGCCGCCCCAGUCCGCCGUGCUUCAAUUGCGGCGUUGCGGGAUCCCUCCCACCCCGCCCUGAUGUGCCCGGACAAGCCUAUCGACGAGGAGUUGAUGAUGUACGGCCACGGGAUUGAGGGCUUGGGGUUCUUCCACAUCAAGCUCCCGGACGUCCCCUCCCCCUCCCCCUCCCUCCAGGCGAUCGUCACGGUGGUGGAUGGUGUCGCCUCCCUCGAGAUGAUUGAGGCCGAGCUCAACCACCUCUACCGUCGCCAAUGGGACUGGCAUGCCACUCUCACCACCGGUGGCACAUUCUCGGUGGUCUUCCCCGACGCUCUCAGCCAUGGCUACGCCACGCGCAGUGACCAGAUCACACUCGCCCUUAACAAGCUUGUCGUCGACAUCUCCGAGCCGAUCCUCGACCCCAAGGCCGUCGCGGUCCUUGACACUGCUUGGAUCCUGGUCGCCGGGCUUCCUGACAUUGCCCGGUCCGAGCGGGUGAUCCGCGAUAUGUCUCGGAUCCUCGGCAAGGUGGUGGUGGUUGACGAGCUUUCCCUCCGUAAGGAGGAGGUGCGCGUCAAAGUCAAGUGCCUCGACUCCUCUAAGCUGCGUGACACCAUCCGGGUCUUCUUCAAUGACCAAGGAUUUGAUCUCCGCAUUGCUCCCAAGCCGCCCAACCACGUGGGACGCCCCCGCCUCUUCGACGACGCACCUCCCGACGCCCAUCCUGUGUCCCAGGAUAACUACGGCGGUCGUCAUCCUCCUCGCCCGCACCACUCUGACGAGGAGGAGAGGUCGGAGGACAGCCCAUCUCGCUCCCCCUCGCCGACUUGCCCGGCCCUGUCCUCGAGCCCAGCCGGCUGGAGCGGGACCGCAGCAGCCGGCGCAUGGGAGGCCGACUGCGGGGGCCGGGUUGCUCGCGAGGCCAGGACGGGAGGCGGCGCGGUGGGCCGGCACGGGGAGACACCGCGCGCGCACGAGGCCGACUGGUGGCAAGCCGGCUGCGGGAACAGGCGGGCACGACGAGGCCGGCUGUGCCGCGUGAGGCGGCAGGGUGAAGCCGGUGGAGGCGCGCCGGGGCGGAGGCGGAGCCGCCAAGCGGACGCCGGCUGUUGCGGGCCGGGGCCGGAAGCCGGCCGCGAGUUGAGCGGGAGCCAGCAGGCCGGGGGCAGCGAGGCGCGGAGAUGGGCAUGGAGCAGUCGGCACCAGCGCGGGGCGGACUGCAGGCAUGCGCGGGCGAUGCGUAGGCGCAGGGCGCGAGGCCGUCUUGCGGGCGAGGUGGGGAGCCGGCGGCCUGGACGGCCAGGUGAGGCGGCUCACGGAGGCAGCGAGGGAGCUAAACAGGCGCUCGGGGAGUCGGCCCCGGCCAUCGAGCGCGCGGGCAGCCGGAGAAGCAGAAGCCGGCCAGGCGCGCGGGAGCCCAGCCACGUAGGGGCUGCCCGGCCGCGAGGGACGCAGCAGGCACGACGGGCAGCCGACGUGGACGGAGGCGCGGUGCAGGGCCGGGUGCUGGGGCCGUGA
rnacentral:rRNA from 1 species